rnacentral:lncRNA from 1 species
ACCAACUGGAUAGCAGAGGCGCAGAACAGAAAAAGAUGAAAAUAUCUGGAGGAUGUUCAACAAAGGACAAAUCAUGGCUGAUCGAUGAUGAUGAUGCAGUCUCACUCCACAACACAGUGUACAACCACAAUAUCGGAUAUUUAGAGCUUUGAGACAUGAGUUCCUGGUAUAUGCCUGAUGGCAUCAUUUCACAAUCCAUUAUGGAGGACAAGGAAUUUUUCUUCAGGAAAUUUGGUUAGGGAAUACAUAUUACUAUGAAGCUGUAUUAAACGAAGUGCUGGGUAUUGAACAACACAGGAAUAAAUAUUUGGAGAAAUAUAGUGACGAGCUAGAAGAGAUGAUUAAAAGGAAAAAAGAUAAGUUUCUAAAUGGCUAAACGACAGAACUCCAGGAACACGAGAAGAAUAUGUUACCCUCUCACAGCAAGUCAAGCAAAUAAUAAGGCUCGAGAAGAACUAAUGCUGGGAGAGAAUGUUUAAGGAAUUAGACAACACGAUAGGCUAUAACAGGUCCACGGAAUCAUGGAAACAAA